CCAGACUCCUACGGGAGGCAGCAGUGAGGAAUAUUGGUCAAUGGUCGGAAGACUGAACCAGCCAAGCCGCGUGAGGGAGGAAGGUACAGAGUAUCGUAAACCUCUUUUGUCAGGGGACAAAGACUGGGACGCGUCCCCGGAUGAGUGUACCUGAAGAAAAAGCAUCGGCUAACUCCGUGCCAGCAGCCGCGGUAAUACGGAGGAUGCGAGCGUUAUCCGGAUUUAUUGGGUUUAAAGGGUGCGCAGGCGGGCUGGUAAGUACGCGGUGAAGGCCCGCGGCUCACCCCCGGCCCGCCGUUGAAACUGGCAGUCUCGAGUUGGAGAGAAGUAUGCGGAAUGCGCGGUGUAGCGGUGAAAUGCAUAGAUAUCGCGCAGAACUCCGAUUGCGAAGGCAGCAUGCCGGCUCCACACUGACGCUGAGGCACGAAAGCGUGGGUAUCGAACAGGAUUAGAUACCCCUGUAAG
rnacentral:rRNA from 1 species